rnacentral:lncRNA from 1 species
AUUUAUAUUUUGAUUCCCUCUAUAUCUCCAAAUAGUUGGGUUUUUUUUCCUCCUGGCAGCUCCAAUAAAGAAAUGUAUUUUAUUUAGAAUUCAAUAACUUCAUUUUCCCAUAAAUCCCUAAUCCACCUCUUUUUCAUAACUGUUAUUUUAUUGCUGGUCAGUGGUCAUAAAGCUAUCAAAUGAUUCUAUUGAUUAACCACAAAGUACUGCCCACAUGUUUUUAUCUUGUAUCAGUCAGACACGUGCAUUUGUUUAUAAAACUAAUUAUCAUCAAAACUCAUUAACAGUGCAAGAUAUGUAAAUAAUUUUUUCUUCUGUGGUUUUGGAAUAUUAAGAAGUAACAAAAUCAGCUGAAAAUGAAAUUUUGAUAAAAUUUAGUUGCUUUUGUAUUGUGCUACCUUAA